rnacentral:rRNA from 1 species
AUGCAUGUCUAAGUAUAAGCAAUUAUACAGCGAAACUGCGAAUGGCUCAUUAUAUAAGUUAUCGUUUAUUUGAUAGUACCUUACUACUUGGAUAACCGUGGUAAUUCUAGAGCUAAUACAUGCUAAAAAUCCCGACUUCGGAAGGGAUGUAUUUAUUAGAUAAAAACCAAUGCCCUCCGGGGCUCACUGGUGAUUCAUGAUAACUCCUCGAAUCGCAUGGCCUUGCGCCGGCGUUGGUUCAUUCAAAUUUCUUCCCUAUCAACUAUCGAUGUUUGGGUAUUGGCCAAACAUGGUUGCAACGGGUAACGGAGGGUUAGGGCUCGACCCCGGAGAAGGAGCCUGAGAAACGGCUACUACAUCCAAGGAAGGGAGCAGGCGCGCAAAUUACCCAAUCCCGACACGGGGAGGUAGUGACAAUAA